rnacentral:tRNA from 1 species
GAGGGUAUAGCUUAGUGGUAGAGCACGUGCUUAGCAUUACAUGGGUUCAAUCCCCAGUACCUCCG